AAGUCGUAACAAGGUCUCCGUAGGUGAACCUGCGGAGGGAUCAUUACACAAUACAAUAUGAAGGCCGUACGCGGCUGGAUUAUUUUAUUACCCUUGUCUUUUGCGCACUUGUUGUUUCCUGGGCGGGUUCGCCCGCCACCAGGACCACACCAUAAACCUUUUUUUAUGCAGUUGCAAUCAGCGUCAGUACAACAAAUGUAAAUCAUUUACAACUUUCAACAACGGAUCUCUUGGUUCUG
rnacentral:misc_RNA from 1 species